UCUACUCCGAUAGCUCUGAACCAGAAUGAAAAAGACAUCCAAAUUGACAAAAAUUAAUCGUUAAAAAUGAGAUUCUAUUUUAAAAUUAAAUGUUUAUCAGAAUCAAAUCAAGCUUAAUGUGACAAUAAUAAUGUAAAACAGACUGAUGAGGGUUUAAAAUUAAAGCAAUUCAUCAGACAAUUGAUUAAUCAUCCAAACCUUUGAGCCAAUAAUAUAUUUUACCGGUUACUUUAAUUUUCAAUUUUAACCUUUAACUUGUUAUUGUCAUCAUUGCUAUUAACUUUGGGUUUUACAAUCAAAUGGUUAUCAAUUAAAACCAGAAGAUAAACCAGAACCCAAAUGUUUGUCCAAUGAUAAGGAAAACAAAAUUAUUAGAUGAAUCAAUCUUGUCAAAUGAAAUUAAUUGUGGUUAAUGGUUCAAGAUUGUUUAACCUUUUUAUUUGAUUAGACGUAAUUAAGAUAAAUCUUACGCAUAAAGAAUUGAAUUAUUAAACUAAAUACAGCAAUUAAUAAAUGACCAUUUUAAGGGAACAAAAAUUUUGACCAAAAAUAAAUUGCAUCAAUUUAGCUUUAUAAUUACAUUCACUGUCAACUGCAAAGGUUAUGAGGAAAAGGCGAUUAAAGUCAACCUUUUUGUCCAUUUUUGUCUCAACAUUGAAACAAUUUAUCAACCAACUUAUCGUCCAGUUUAUGGAGCAUUCAUUUUAACUAUUAAACUCAGCUUUAAAAGCCAAUUAAAUCGCUAAAUCAUCAACUAUUGGAGAGACAAUUAAACUGGACGUUUAUUAGAAUAGAUUGCUGGACAUUUGUUAAAUGUCAUUUGCAGACUUUUCAUUUUGUAAUGUUUUACCCUCUUAAAAACUCUCCUCUAGUGUGAGAUCAUUUUACUCAAAACGUAAUAGUUAUUGAUUAACACUAAGAUUAACGUGAUUAAGGAUUAAUCAAGGAUUAAUUUAGAAAAGAUGUUUAAUAUUGUUUCCUUUCAGUCAAGUUCACUUUUUUAAUUUUUCUGGUUCGGAGGAUUGAACUUGACCAACACUUUCUCUGAUCAGGUUUAACAUCUGCCCACUUAACAUGUAAGAUAUUUGAUAUUAUUGGUUAGGCCUGAGUUUAUCCACAUUUUGCCUUGAUAAUUUUCACCUUUUUUCACCAAAAUUCAAUUUUCUAACUCAUUUUUCACUAAUCCGAUUAGAUUGUGAUUCAAACAAGCCGCUCAACUUAGCUUGAUAAUAAGAUACUGAUAAAUAGAUAUUAAUCGUACUCGGACUCAAAGAUAACAUGUGUUGAAUUAACACUGUUAAUGCCGUUAAAUGUUGUUUCUACUUUAUCUAUUUCUUUCGUAUAUCAACAAUUUAAGCUUAGGCUGUAGUUGAAUAGCCAUUUUUGUCAUUGUUUAAUCACUUUCUUGUUCAAUUGUUCCUGAUUUAUGGGUUGCCGAUUUGAUGUGUAACCAACAAUCAGCUGUUGUCUAGCAAUUGAAAUGCUGUUGAAUGAUCUAAACUUGCUUUCAAGUGGUUCAAAUAAGAUAUUGUUUUCCCAUUGCUCAGAAUGCAAGUAAUAACUCUCAAUUUUACUGAUGCUUAUUUUGGUCUUGGUGCAUCCAAGCGAUCGAUAUCAAUUAUUAAGGCUAACAAGUGUAAUAUCAUUACGGUUAUCAACAGCAGAGGAAAAAUAGGCCAAAAUUUUAAAUCAACUGAUUUAAUCGUUUAUUUAAAUCAAUGAUAGUAUUAAGUGUUAGCUGAUUCACACUGGAAAUAUUGAUGGUGAAAAAUAUGAUCGUUUGGCUGGUCUGGCUUCCUUGAAAGUAUCAAAAGAUGAGAUUAUAUUGACUGCAGCUAGAUCUGUAUUACCAUAUCAUUUGAAAUGUUGGAUGUCCAGAGGUUUUUGCAGGAAUCAAGGGAUAAUCUGAUCAUGACCAUGAUUCUUCAUUGUUUUAUCAUCAAUGACCUCAUCUUUGGUUUGGAUAGAUGAAAGAUGAAGAAGAUGAAGGCCAUAAAGAAGAUGAAGAUGACAGUAAAGCGUAAAGGAAAGCAAAAGUAACUCAUACAAAUGAGUUAAUAUUCCAUAAAAUGAAGAUGAUUAUGAUAAUCAAUCAACAUCAAUUACAGGUAACUUACUGACAGGAAAACAAAUAGACAAAGAAUAGUGAACAAUAUUGAAACAUACGAUCAACAGGCCUGAUCCAUCAUCUUUAACAUGAGUGUCAUCGUCAGAUAACCCAAUUAGGCGUUCAAGAUAUUGUGACUUAAACUAAAUUAAUUCAGCUUUCACAAUCUUGGAACAAGUUAAACCAUGGAAGUUAAAUGUGAUUAAUCAUUAAUUAUAAGCUAUUCAACUCUGAUAAUCAAAAAAUUUAAUCCAAUCUUGGCCAAUCUUGAAUCUAUAUCCUGAAUCAAGUUCAACCGCACUUGGCCAACACUUGUCCGUACCAAAUGUGGUCAAACGAAAAGAGUUAUCCAUUGAUAUGUAAAUCUGUUUGUGUUAAUAUAUUAAUACAAUAACCUUUUAACCGCAGACAGACAACAUUUUGCUGAUUAAAUUACUAUUAAUAUAUGGAGCCAAAUUUAUGGAUAUAUUUGUCAAUUCAAAUCAGUCAAUUGCCAAAUAUUGCUAAUUGCAUUCACAUUCGCCUCGCCAGUUUACCAGACAAUCUUGACCAGGAGUAUCUGCCUUUAUUAGGAAAUACUGAGUAUUGACACCAAAAAGAGGAUAAUUUAUUGUUUGUCCAUUGUGAUAUUAUUGUAUAUCCAAGUAUUAUUCAUCUUCAUUAUUCUUAAGGCACAACAAUUUCAAGUCUAAUCUUGUUACCUUUAACAGGUUGAAACUCACUUUUAGGUUCAUUUGUAUCCACAUGUAUUGAGAUGUUUCAGAUGAAAUUGCAAUGGAUAAAGAUGAAUGCAACUGUUCCCAAAAAGGCUAAAAAAGCAACAAAAAUAAACAAGAUUAUUUGAUUAA